ACCCGAGUGGCUCAGUGGGUUAAGCGUCUGACUGCAGCUCAGGUCAUGAUCUCGCGGUUCGUGGGUUCCAGCCCCGCCUUGGACU
rnacentral:tRNA from 1 species